UUGGCUAAGGCCCAACAGGAUUUAGAGGUAAAAGAAAUUAAAGGCACAUUUCACCCUAUUUAACACCCCUUUUGAUUUUGAAGCGCAGAAGAAAACGGGCAGACGAGGAAGAGCAAACCCUAACUAAUUGUGUCCCGAGUAUGUCGCCGUUGAGUCACCUGAAAUCUGUCGCUGCGCUGGCAACACGCGGAGGGAGAGGGCUUCCCUCUCGCCGUAAUUUCUCUUCGUCCACCGUUAGCAAAGUGGCCAAUGGAUUUGGGGAAUUAUUGAUUGAUUGUGUUUGCGGAGUUUCUUAACCUGUUGCGAGACUCACGGCGGGAUACCUAAUAGGUUAUGUCGUCCUUCACGAUAUGACUACAGCGGAAAGGGAGAUGUGCGUGAAAGAGGAGGUAGAAAAGGUGAAGAAUGAAUUUCAGGUGAAGAAGGAAUUAGGAUUAGAAUAGUAAAUGUUUGUGUAAGAUCGGAAGAAUCAAAAUAAGAAGUGUUUGUUUGUGUUUCAUUUUGUUGGGAUAUGUAGUUAACAACGUAUGGAAAUUAUUAUUAUAAUUCGAGUUUUCAA